AGUGAACGCUGGCGGCGUGCCUAACACAUGCAAGUCGAACGAUGAUGGAGAGCUUGCUCUCCUGAUUAGUGGCGCACGGGUGAGUAUACCAUAGAUAAUGUACCUCUUAGUUCGGGAUAGCCACUGGAAACGGUGAUUAAUACCGGAUACUCCUUCUUGUCUUAAUGCAAGUCGGGAAAGUUUUUUCGCUAAGAGAUCAGUCUAUGUCCUAUCAGCUAGUUGGUGAGGUAAUGGCUCACCAAGGCAAUGACGGGUAUCUGGUUUGAGAGGAUGAUCAGACACACUGGAACUGAGACACGGUCCAGACUCCUACGGGAGGCAGCAGUGAGGAAUAUUGCACAAUGGAGGAAACUCUGAUGCAGCAACGCCGCGUGGAGGAUGACGCAUUUCGGUGUGUAAACUCCUUUUAAGAGGGAAGAUAAUGACGGUACCUCUUGAAUAAGCACCGGCUAACUCCGUGCCAGCCGCCGCAGUAACAC
rnacentral:rRNA from 1 species